rnacentral:rRNA from 1 species
UCCAGACUCCUACGGGAGGCAGCAGUGGGGGAUAUUGCACAAUGGGGGGAACCCUGAUGCAGCGACGCCGCGUGGGUGAAGGAGCGUUUCGGCGCGUAAAGCCCUCUCGGCAGGGAAGAAGGAGGACGGUACCUGACUAAGAAGCCCCGGCUAACUACGUGCCAGCAGCCGCGGUAAUACGUAGGGGGCAAGCGUUAUCCGGAUUUACUGGGUGUAAAGGGGGCGCAGAAGGCAGCGCAAGCCAGGAGUGAAAGCCCGGGGCCCAACCCCGGGACUGCUCUUGGAACUGCGCGGCUGGAGUGCAGGAGGGGCAGGCGGAAUUCCUGGUGUAGCGGUGAAAUGCGUAGAUAUCAGGAGGAACACCGGUGGCGAAGGCGGCCUGCUGGACUGCAACUGACGUUGAGGCCCGAAAGCGUGGGGAGCAAACAGGAUUAGAUACCCGUGUA